AUAUACCUGAACUGGUUUGGAACAGGACAGAGAGGAGAGGUUUCAUACCUUCUACAUAUACCUGAACUGGUUUGGAACAGGACAGAGAGGGGAGGUUUCAUACCUUCUACAUAUACCUGAACUGGUUUGGAACAGGACAGAGAGGGGAGGUUCCAUACCUUCUACAUAUACCUGAACUGGUUUGGAACAGGACAGAGAGGAGAGGUUUCAUACCUUCUACAUAUACCUGAACUGGUUUGGAACAGGACAGAGAGGGGAGGUGCCAUA